AACGCACAUUGCGCCCAUUGGUAUUCCUUUGGGCAUGUCUGUUUGAGCGUCAUUACAACCCCUCAGCGCAAGCUGGUAUUGAGUCAAGCAGCUUGGAAACCAUCUGGUUUACUUGGGCUCUUGCUUUAAAGUUGUACGCUCUGCUGGCUGCUUGUCUGACCAAAAACAUAGUAAUAUUAUACAUUGUUUUAUAAUCGGAUCUUGCACGCUCGGCCUGAACAAAACCAUUUUUCUUAGGUUUGACCUCAGAUCAGACAAGGAUACCCGCUGAACUUAA
rnacentral:misc_RNA from 1 species